GCCCGUUUGGCCAAGUGGUAAGGCGUCAGUCUUGUAAACUGAAGAUCAGUGGUUCGAUCCCGCUAUCGGGCA
rnacentral:tRNA from 1 species